CGUCGGACCUUUCGAUGUCCGUAAACAAAACUAUUGAAAAUAACAAAAAAAAAUAUGGCUGUUACUUAAACAUGUCUUGUCAAACGAGUAAAUCAAAUCCGCCUUGCGCAAUUGAAUGGUCAAGUGACAACGAUUAUUUGAGAUACGUUUAUAGCAGCAACUGGGCGAAUGCUGACAGUGGGAAUGAUCGUUCUGUUUCCAACGUGCUUUACAAUGUCACAAAUGAUAUGGCUGGAGGAACAAUUACAUGAUCAACAAGAUGCGAUCAUUUUACGUCUAAUGUAAAUAAAAACUAUGAGUUAUCUUGUUCAGAUAUCCCUUUAUGUCUUUUUAUGGAGACAUCUAUUGUAAAAGAAAGCAAUCCUGAAAUUCUUAACUUAACGUGCAAUACUGGUCCAACAUGCAUGCCUUGUGCAAUAUCAUGGACUACAAACUUCGUCUUUCUUCACCCAAUAUCGAUAUCGCAAUGGACAAAGAACAGUGGUCUGGGCAUUAUAAGUGUUUCAAAUGCUCUAUUCAUCCUAACAAAAGAUGUGGACGGGAAACGGAUACAGUGUUCUGCAAAGUGUGGGAACGAUUCAUCUGAUAUAAUACAUGAAACAUACACUAUUGUGUUUGAGGCUUUUCAAGAAGCAGCUACCAACCCUGCAUCCGUUGUAGCCCUACAGUUUCACGUGUCGGUCCUGUACGCGUUAUCUGGAACCAUUAUACUUUUAUUCAUAACAAAGUUGACAUUGCUUCUAUUUCGUCGAUGCAAAUCUCAGGCGUAUGAAAUGUUUCUACGCCGAAGAAAAACUGCAUAUAUCGACCCAAGCAGCCAUUUGUACGACGCUGUUCAGUCUACUGUUGAGGCAACGAUGCUUCACGAUAUAAGAAGAAUAUCUGCAAGUGCCUCUGAGAACAUAUCUCCACUAUCGGCUACAGAAGAACACCAAGCCCCUUCAAACAGGAACGUUUGCCACUACGACUAUGUGGAUAUUCCAUCCGACCAACAAACCCAUGAGACAAUUACACAGGCUGAGUCUUACAUUCACGCGAUAUAAAGCAACUAAUCCAACCAAAUUGUUACAGAAGGCACAACCAAUACUAUUUUUAUCAAUAUUCCUAAAGAUAUUUUAAUAUGAACUUUCUAAUCUUUGAGUCGAACUGGAUAUUCUUGUUGUUUUGAACAUCUUUCGAACGUAUUGGGUUUAGUUAGUCAUGUUUUGUAUUUCGGUUGUAUCCAAUGUUCAAUAUCCCUAAGUAUUUCUCGAGGUUAAACGACUUUGACAUAGUGAGUUUUGACUGUAUGUUAAAUAGUUCUAAAACAUGUGAGGUUUGACUGUAUGUUAUAUAGUUCCAAAACAUGCGAGGUUUGACUGUAUGUUAUAUAGUUCUAAAACAUGUGAGUUUUGACUGUAUGUUAUAUAGUCCUAAAACAUGUGAGUUUUGUCUGUAUGUUAUAUAGUCCUAAAACAUGUGAGUUUUGACUGUAUAUUAUAUAGUUCUAAAACAUUUUGUAAACACACGGCAUACCUUUGAAUAUACAAUUUACACUUCGACUCCUAACUUAAUAACAUUUAUUCCAUAAAAAAUAAGAUAUGUCUACUGCAGGUGUGUGAUUAGAUCAAACAUAAUAUAUUUAGGCUAGUCCUUAGGUUAGUAUAUUUAACAAAUGCUUUUAAAUCUGGUUCGUUAUGUUAAGCCAUGAGCCGAAAUAUUUGUAUACUAAUUGAAACAAUACAUGAUCACAUCUUAUAUUUCAUUUAAUAGUGAUUGUAAUUAAAUUGUACUUAUAAUCAUAAUGUAAUUAUGUCUCAGUACAAACUAGUUGUUUAAAUGUA